rnacentral:rRNA from 1 species
UACGUAGGGGGCUAGCGUUGUCCGGAAUCAUUGGGCGUAAAGCGCGUGUAGGCGGUCCGGUAAGUCCGCUGUGAAAGUCGGGGGCUCAACCCUCGAAUGCCGGUGGAUACUGUCGGGCUAGAGUACGGAAGAGGCGAGUGGAAUUCCUGGUGUAGCGGUGAAAUGCGCAGAUAUCAGGAGGAACACCAAUGGCGAAGGCAGCUCGCUGGAACGGAACUGACGCUGAGGCGCGAAAGCGUGGGGAGCGAACAGG